rnacentral:rRNA from 1 species
UAAUACGGAGGAUCCGAGCGUUAUCCGGAUUUAUUGGGUUUAAAGGGAGCGUAGGUUGACGUAUAAGUCAGCUGUGAAAGUUUACGGCUCAACCGUGAAAUUGCAGUUGAUACUGUAUGUCUUGAGUGUACAAGAGGUGGGCGGAAUUCGUGGUGUAGCGGUGAAAUGCUUAGAUAUCACGAAGAACUCCAAUUGCGAAGGCAGCUCACUGGGGUACAACUGACACUGAGGCUCGAAAGUGUGGGUAUCAAACAGG